CAGCUAACCGGAGACGUACAACAUUGAGCACGGCAUUAAUGUGACUUUAUGGAUUCACCCCAGCUGGUAACCAAGGGCAACAACCCCUGUACUGCAAGCCAUAAAAUACGUCAAUUAUUAAUGUUGGUGCUGAGAGGACAGAGGAACAGCGAGUGAAUCACCGGGCAGACGGAGUGUGUGUUUCUAAAGAGCGUGUGCGCCUGGUUUUACCGUGCAGGUUCAACUGUCCGGAGAACCACUGAAACACAGCCAGGAGAGAACAUCUGAAGUGCGUUUGCGCGCGUGGAUAGGCUCGGUACAUUAAUCUAGACUUAGAAUUAGACUUUGUCCGGUUAGAAUGUGUGUACAGAAGUAACGGGAAGUGGCGCGCUGAGCUAUUAAGAGCAGCCUACUAAACUGGGAGUACGAGCCGGUGACCCCGCGUGACGGGGAGUGAGUCUCAAGACAGGUAAAGCUACUCCAGUAUCAUGAUGGAAGGGUCAGAGACCACUACUGUUAGAGAGGUCCACAUCAUUCCGAUGACAUCAUCAACUGCCUCCCCCCCAGCUGUGUCCAGACCCCACACCCUCCCCUCCUCCUCCCCCACCUCUCUCUCUCUCCUCCUCCCCCUCCUCCUCCCCCACUCACCCCCUCUCUCUGAGACACCCCCAGCUCCAAGAAGAGUUUCUGAAGAGAGUCAGAAUAAGUGAGACUUUCCAUUCUUGAUAACACUGUCCUCAUCUCUCCCUCCCCCACCUCCUCCCUCUCCUCCCCCACCUCCUCCCUCUCCUCCUCCACCUCCUCCCUUUCCUCCCCCCCUUCCUCUCCCCGUCCACAGGCUUGCUCCCCCACCUCCCCCCAGCCUGCAGGCCAGUCUGUCUCUCUCCAGUCCAGAGCUUCUGACGGAGCUGAAAGGCUCUCAGUCCCGCCCCCUCAAACAUGUCUCCGCCUCCAGAGGGCUCACGCUCGUCUUCUCUGGACGGGGGAGGGGGGGCCUAAUGGGUGAGGGG